GUGGGGAAUCUUGCGCAAUGGGCGAAAGCCUGACGCAGCCAUGCCGCGUGAAUGAUGAAGGUCUUAGGAUUGUAAAAUUCUUUCACCGGGGACGAUAAUGACGGUACCCGGAGAAGAAGCUCCGGCUAACUUCGUGCCAGCAGCCGCGGUAAUACGAAGGGGGCUAGCGUUGCUCGGAAUUACUGGGCGUAAAGGGCGCGUAGGCGGACAGCUUAGUCAGAGGUGAAAGCCCAGGGCACAACCUUGGAAUUGCCUUUGAUACUGGCUGUCUGGAGUUUGGGAGAGGUGAGUGGAACUCCGAGUGUAGAGGUGAAAUUCGUAGAUAUUCGGAAGAACACCAGUGGCGAAGGCGACUCACUGGCCCAAUACUGACGCUGAGGCGCGAAAGCGUGGGGAGCAAACAGGAUUAGAAACCCGUGUAGUCC
rnacentral:rRNA from 1 species